AGUGAAAUAACUGGAUCAAAUGGUGAUUCCAUUCUAAGAUUUUUAAAGGAGUCUCCAUAUUGCUUUCCAGAGUUGUUGCACCAGUUUGCAGUGCCACCAGCAAU
rnacentral:pre_miRNA from 1 species